CCUACGGGAGGCAGCAGUAGGGAAUAUUGCUCAAUGGGGGAAACCCUGAAGCAGCAACGCCGCGUGGAGGAUGAAGGUUUUCGGAUUGUAAACUCCUUUUGUUAGAGAAGAUAAUGACGGUAUUUAACGAAUAAGCACCGGCUAACUCCGUGCCAGCAGCCGCGGUAAGACGGAGGGUACAAGCGUUACUCGGAAUCACUGGGCGUAAAGAGCGAGUAGGCGGGAUAGCAAGUCAGAUGUGAAAUCCUAUGGCUUAACCAUAGAACUGCAUUUGAAACUGUUAUUCUAGAGUAUGGGAGAGGUAGGUGGAAUUCGUGGUGUAGGGGUGAAAUCCGUAGAGAUCAAGAGGAAUACUCAUUGCGAAGGCGGCCUGCUGGAACAUAACUGACGCUGAUGCGCGAAAGCGUGGGGAGCAAACAGGAUUAGAUACCCGAGUAGUC
rnacentral:rRNA from 1 species